rnacentral:rRNA from 1 species
ACCCGCUGAACUUAAGCAUAUCACUAAGCGGAGGAAAAGAAACUAACCAGGAUUCUCUUAGUAACGGCGAGUGAACAGAGAUUAGCCCAGCACCGAAGCCUACGCUGCUUAAGCGUAAGGCAAUGUGGUGUUUA